UCCAGACUCCUACGGGAGGCAGCAGUGAGGAAUAUUGGUCAAUGGGCGGAAGCCUGAACCAGCCAAGUCGCGUGAGGGAAGAAGGCCCUGCGGGUCGCAGACCUCUUUGGACGGGGAGCAAGGCCGCCGACGUGUCGGCGGAAGGAGAGUACCCGUAGAACAAGCAUCGGCUAACUCCGUGCCAGCAGCCGCGGUAAUACGGAGGAUGCGAGCGUUAUCCGGAUUUAUUGGGUUUAAAGGGUGCGCAGGCGGCGAGUUAAGUCAGCGGUAAAAUGUCGGGGCUCAACCUCGCUCCGCCGUUGAAACUGGCGUUCUUGAGUGGGCGAGAAGUGCGCGGAAUGCGUGGUGUAGCGGUGAAAUGCAUAGAUAUCACGCAGAACUCCGAUUGCGAAGGCAGCGCACCGGCGCCCUACUGACGCUCAGGCACGAAAGCGUGGGUAUCGAACAGGAUUAGAUACCCUAGUAC
rnacentral:rRNA from 1 species